rnacentral:rRNA from 1 species
GGUUAAGCGACUAAGCGUACACGGUGGAUGCCCUGGCAGUCAGAGGCGAUGAAGGACGUGCUAAUCUGCGAUAAGCGUCGGUAAGGUGAUAUGAACCGUUAUAACCGGCGAUUUCCGAAUGGGGAAACCCAGUGUGAUUCGUCACACUAUCAUUAACUGAAUCCAUAGGUUAAUGAGGCGAACCGGGGGAACUGAAACAUCUAAGUACCCCGAGGAAAAGAAAUCAACCGAGAUUCCCCCAGUAGCGGCGAGCGAACGGGGAGGAGCCCAGAGCCUGAAUCAGUGUGUGUGUUAGUGGAAGCGUCUGGAAAGGCGCGCGAUACAGGGUGACAGCCCCGUACACAAAAAUGCACAUGCUGUGAGCUCGAUGAGUAGGGCGGGACACGUGGUAUCCUGUCUGAAUAUGGGGGGACCAUCCUCCAAGGCUAAAUACUCCUGACUGACCGAUAGUGAACCAGUACCGUGAGGGAAAGGCGAAAAGAACCCCGGCGAGGGGAGUGAAAAAGAACCUGAAACCGUGUACGUACAAGCAGUGGGAGCACGCUUAGGCGUGUGACUGCGUACCUUUUGUAUAAUGGGUCAGCGACUUAUAUUCUGUAGCAAGGUUAACCGAAUAGGGGAGCCGAAGGGAAACCGAGUCUUAACUGGGCGUUAAGUUGCAGGGUAUAGACCCGAAACCCGGUGAUCUAGCCAUGGGCAGGUUGAAGGUUGGGUAACACUAACUGGAGGACCGAACCGACUAAUGUUGAAAAAUUAGCGGAUGACUUGUGGCUGGGGGUGAAAGGCCAAUCAAACCGGGAGAUAGCUGGUUCUCCCCGAAAGCUAUUUAGGUAGCGCCUCGUGAAUUCAUCUCCGGGGGUAGAGCACUGUUUCGGCAAGGGGGUCAUCCCGACUUACCAACCCGAUGCAAACUGCGAAUACCGGAGAAUGUUAUCACGGGAGACACACGGCGGGUGCUAACGUCCGUCGUGAAGAGGGAAACAACCCAGACCGCCAGCUAAGGUCCCAAAGUCAUGGUUAAGUGGGAAACGAUGUGGGAAGGCCCAGACAGCCAGGAUGUUGGCUUAGAAGCAGCCAUCAUUUAAAGAAAGCGUAAUAGCUCACUGGUCGAGUCGGCCUGCGCGGAAGAUGUAACGGGGCUAAACCAUGCACCGAAGCUGCGGCAGCGACGCUUAUGCGUUGUUGGGUAGGGGAGCGUUCUGUAAGCCUGUGAAGGUGUGCUGUGAGGCAUGCUGGAGGUAUCAGAAGUGCGAAUGCUGACAUAAGUAACGAUAAAGCGGGUGAAAAGCCCGCUCGCCGGAAGACCAAGGGUUCCUGUCCAACGUUAAUCGGGGCAGGGUGAGUCGACCCCUAAGGCGAGGCCGAAAGGCGUAGUCGAUGGGAAACAGGUUAAUAUUCCUGUACUUGGUGUUACUGCGAAGGGGGGACGGAGAAGGCUAUGUUGGCCGGGCGACGGUUGUCCCGGUUUAAGCGUGUAGGCUGGUUUUCCAGGCAAAUCCGGAAAAUCAAGGCUGAGGCGUGAUGACGAGGCACUACGGUGCUGAAGCAACAAAUGCCCUGCUUCCAGGAAAAGCCUCUAAGCAUCAGGUAACAUCAAAUCGUACCCCAAACCGACACAGGUGGUCAGGUAGAGAAUACCAAGGCGCUUGAGAGAACUCGGGUGAAGGAACUAGGCAAAAUGGUGCCGUAACUUCGGGAGAAGGCACGCUGAUAUGUAGGUGAAGUCCCUCGCGGAUGGAGCUGAAAUCAGUCGAAGAUACCAGCUGGCUGCAACUGUUUAUUAAAAACACAGCACUGUGCAAACACGAAAGUGGACGUAUACGGUGUGACGCCUGCCCGGUGCCGGAAGGUUAAUUGAUGGGGUCAGCGCAAGCGAAGCUCUUGAUCGAAGCCCCGGUAAACGGCGGCCGUAACUAUAACGGUCCUAAGGUAGCGAAAUUCCUUGUCGGGUAAGUUCCGACCUGCACGAAUGGCGUAAUGAUGGCCAGGCUGUCUCCACCCGAGACUCAGUGAAAUUGAACUCGCUGUGAAGAUGCAGUGUACCCGCGGCAAGACGGAAAGACCCCGUGAACCUUUACUAUAGCUUGACACUGAACAUUGAGCCUUGAUGUGUAGGAUAGGUGGGAGGCUUUGAAGUGUGGACGCCAGUCUGCAUGGAGCCGACCUUGAAAUACCACCCUUUAAUGUUUGAUGUUCUAACGUUGACCCGUGAUCCGGGUUGCGGACAGUGUCUGGUGGGUAGUUUGACUGGGGCGGUCUCCUCCUAAAGAGUAACGGAGGAGCACGAAGGUUGGCUAAUCCUGGUCGGACAUCAGGAGGUUAGUGCAAUGGCAUAAGCCAGCUUGACUGCGAGCGUGACGGCGCGAGCAGGUGCGAAAGCAGGUCAUAGUGAUCCGGUGGUUCUGAAUGGAAGGGCCAUCGCUCAACGGAUAAAAGGUACUCCGGGGAUAACAGGCUGAUACCGCCCAAGAGUUCAUAUCGACGGCGGUGUUUGGCACCUCGAUGUCGGCUCAUCACAUCCUGGGGCUGAAGUAGGUCCCAAGGGUAUGGCUGUUCGCCAUUUAAAGUGGUACGCGAGCUGGGUUUAGAACGUCGUGAGACAGUUCGGUCCCUAUCUGCCGUGGGCGCUGGAGAACUGAGGGGGGCUGCUCCUAGUACGAGAGGACCGGAGUGGACGCAUCACUGGUGUUCGGGUUGUCAUGCCAAUGGCACUGCCCGGUAGCUAAAUGCGGAAGAGAUAAGUGCUGAAAGCAUCUAAGCACGAAACUUGCCCCGAGAUGAGUUCUCCCUGACUCCUUGAGAGUCCUGAAGGAACGUUGAAGACGACGACGUUGAUAGGCCGGGUGUGUAAGCGCAGCGAUGCGUUGAGCUAACCGGUACUAAUGAACCGUGAGGCUUAACCUU